rnacentral:lncRNA from 1 species
CUGCACUCUGAGAAUUAGAAAUGUGACGAAGAAUGACUCUGGAGAAUAUUGGUAUCGAUUUCUUAAUAAUGAAGGAAGGGGUUUCUCUGGUACUCCUGGAGUUAUUCUAAAUGUAACAGAUCUUCAGGUGAAAAUGAGUCCCAGCUCUCCAUCAGAAGGACAGACAGUAACACUGACCUGUAGCUCCACCUGCACUCUGCCCAACAACCCCACCUACAUCUGGUACAAGAACGGACAGCCUGUAACCAACAAACCCACCAGAUACAACAAGCUCUACCUGGAGUCAACAAGCCCUGAGCACGUUCUCCAGUAUUCCUGUGCUCUAGGAGAUUUUCCAGAUGAAAAAAGCCCAGAACACAUCACAGUGUUAAUCAUCACAGUGGGCAUGGUCAUCUUUCUGGCUGUAAUCCUGAUCACAGGACUGGUGUGGAGGUGUUGGGUGAUCAGGAGGAAGAGAGGAGCAGAGAGAGAAGCAGAUGUUCAGACUGGAACCCCUGUAGACGACACUUACACAGCUCUAAACCCCACCAGCAUGUCCUCUGAUUACGACACUCUGACUGUUAGAAAAGUCUCUUCCAGUGGUCUGUACUCCUCCCUGAACCCUGCAACCAUGUCCUCUGAUUACGAGACUCUGACUGUUAGAGACUCCUCCAGUGGUCUGUACUCCUCUCUGAAUCCUGCAACCAUGUCCUCUGAUUACGAGACUCUGACUAAUGCUACUGGAAGACCUAAGAACAGAAAGCCUUGAAUCCUGUAUUGUGAUCUCUGAGGGCCUCUUACCAAAGAACCUUCAGCCCCCUGAAUCCCAAACCUCAUUCCCACCAUCAUUUCCAGAAUAACAAGUAGAGGAAGUUUCAUUUCACCUCCUCAGGUUCCAACUUUGCAGGACAUGAUGAUAUAUAAUAUAAUGUUAUAUAAUAUUAGGUUCUAUACAUUAAAAUAUUUAUGCUUUACUCUUCCAAGCCACCCUCCAGGUCAAGGUGUAGAAAAGAUGCCAGAUAAAGGUCAUACAGGAAAUAAAGGGAUGAGCCAGAAAAAGAUAAGGAAUUGU